GGAAAUCACAAUCUUAUGUAACUUAAUCAUGGAAGUGACAUCUCAUCCCUUUUGAUAUAUUCUAUCGGUUAAAAGCAUGUUACAAAGUCUUGCCCACACUCAAGGGGGAAGAGCACUAUAAAAGGGCAGAAUACCAGGAAGUGGAGAUCACUGGGGGGUCAUCUAGAGGUUGCCCACCACAGGGAAGAAAGUGAUGGCAGAUAUCCAUUGUUUUUUUUCUGGUUGCUAUCCAUUCCUCCUUCUUCUGGUAAUUAUACCUAGAUUUUCCUUUGACGAAUAGCCCCCUCCACCAUUUCCAAAGUGUUUCUGGCAGUCUCAGCCCCAGGUGUCGAAAAGUGACUCAAGCUGGAGAAUCAGCAUAUCACAUGUCUGGGCUCACAGUAAUGAGUUUAGAAAUGGACAUGUGAUCCAACAAGGACAUGUGAUCCAACAAGGACAUGUGAUCCAAUUGGACAUGUGAUCCAAUGAAGAGCAAGGAAACUUUCUUGGGAAUCCUGGAAAGAUAUGCUCUGUUUUUCAGAUUGACUUAAAACUAGAGAGGAUCUAGAAACUGGAGCUGCUGCCUCUGUCUGCUAAGAUGUGAAGCCCAAGACUGAAAGUAACAUAGCGGAAGAACCAAAAGAGAUGUUGAGUCUUGGUGCUAUUUGUUGAACCAGUCCUGAAUCCAGCUGUGUCGGAGUCAGCCCAGUUUUUAAAGCUGGAGAGCAUCAUAUUUUAGAAAGAUCAAUGUGGGUGAGGACACAUUAAAAAGAGAAGAUCUGGAGGAGGGGACAUCACUCAGGGUUAUAACCUCCAGUUCACAUUUUAGCACCAAAAGACCAAAGCCUACACCUGAGAUUUUGCACUUGCAAAAAGGAAGAUCACCUGGAAGAACACAAUAGGAGACUCCUGCUCCCAGUAGGCUUGGGUCAGGAAGAUGGCCGUUGGCAUAAUUGUGGAGUAGGAAGAUGGAAAACAACUCCCAGAGAUCCCAACAGCUGAACACGUGCUUGGGCAGUGGCUGCAGGUGAAGUCGUGGGAAGGCAACUCAUAAAGGGCAUUAAUCAAGGAUAUGUUCUAGGAGUAACUCCCUUGCUUUUCUUGGAUGUGUGCGAGAAAGUGUGGACAUCCAACUGUGACUGGCAGCCACUUUCUGACCAAUGGGAGAUCCAGUCUCAGGAUGGAGCAGACACCAUGCAUGGUAGAGCAGAGAGACAGAUAAAACCUAGGUCCUUGAUGAAAUGAUUGGCCACUGGAUCAGCCACAGUUAAAGACUGCCUACCUUUGGACUUCUGGUUAUCUCAGGCCAAAAAUGUCCUUUUUAUUUAAAGCACUUUGAAUUGGGUUUUCUAAGACCUCGCAGUCUCAACCAUCCAAACUAAUAAGCUGAAUUAACUAGAUUUCCUGUCAUGUCCUUCCUGCCUGAUUGGUAGCCCUUGACUCCAAUUUGGCCUCAUUUUCCGUACCUUACUGGCUGCCUUUUCCUCUAAUCAUAGGUCACUUGGAUGUAAAAUAUAGAUUUACUUCAAA